rnacentral:rRNA from 1 species
UACGUAGGGGGCGAGCGUUGUCCGGAAUUACUGGGCGUAAAGGGCGCGCAGGCGGCCGAUCAAGUUAGAUGUGAAAUACCCGGGCUUAACCUGGGAACUGCAUUUAAAACUGGUUGGCUAGGAGUGCAGGAGAGGGAAGCGGAAUUCCUAGUGUAGCGGUGAAAUGCGUAGAUAUUAGGAGGAACACCAGUGGCGAAGGCGGCUUUCUGGACUGUAACUGACGCUGAGGCGCGAAAGCGUGGGGAGCG